rnacentral:rRNA from 1 species
AUUGAACGCUGGCGGCAUGCCUUACACAUGCAAGUCGAACGGUAACAGGUCUUCGGACGCUGACGAGUGGCGCACGGGUGAGUAAUACAUCGGAACGUGCCCGAUCGUGGGGGAUAACGAGGCGAAAGCUUUGCUAAUACCGCAUACGAUCUACGGAUGAAAGCGGGGGAUCUUCGGACCUCGCGCGGACGGAGCGGCCGAUGGCAGAUUAGGUAGUUGGUGGGAUAAAAGCUUACCAAGCCGACGAUCUGUAGCUGGUCUGAGAGGAUGAUCAGCCACACUGGGACUGAGACACGGCCCAGACUCCUACGGGAGGCAGCAGUGGGGAAUUUUGGACAAUGGGCGAAAGCCUGAUCCAGCCAUGCCGCGUGCAGGAUGAAGGCCUUCGGGUUGUAAACUGCUUUUGUACGGAACGAAAAGCCUCUUUCUAAUAAAGAGGGGUCAUGACGGUACCGUAAGAAUAAGCACCGGCUAACUACGUG